rnacentral:lncRNA from 1 species
CACUUAAAAAUAAUUUCGUCCUCGAAAUUUCUAAUCAUGCUUCAUUCGUGUCAUCUAAACAAUUUCACAAUUCCAACUAUUUCUAACGGAGCUAAGCAUAAUAAUACUAGAACAUGAAAGCAUCAUAAAAAAAAUAUCACGUAAAACAUCAUAACAGCCAUAUACUUGAACAAUUAGAACACAUACCUUGGAGUCGAUGCAGCGCAUGAGUUUCGAAUGACUAGGCUUACUUAACCUUUUAAAAGCAUUUUUUUUAAAACACGAGUCUACAGGAACGUAGACCCGCUCUGAUACCACUAUGUAACACCCC